GGAGAAAUUCGCCGCGGUGCGCCAAGACCACCUUCGUCUCCGUCUACUUCUCAAACCUCAUCCGGAAGGUUUCAAUCUCAAGUCAUUCCAUCAUUUUACAUCAAGUUCCUGUAGGACACGUUGGGGUAGGAGGUGCUCUUUUGAAAACCAACACUGCGGAACUUGGAGCUGCCGGGCCUAGAGAAAUUCACUGCGUUGAGCCAAGAC